UGGGGGAUAUUGCGCAAUGGGGGAAACCCUGACGCAGCAACGCCGCGUGAAGGAAGAAGGCCUUCGGGUCGUAAACUUUUGUCCUCAGGGAAGAAGAACUGACGGUACCUGAGGAGGAAGCCACGGCUAACUACGUGCCAGCAGCCGCGGUAAUACGUAGGUGGCGAGCGUUGUCCGGAUUUACUGGGUGUAAAGGGCGUGUAGGCGGGAUGGCAAGUCAGGUGUGAAAUACCAAGGCUUAACCUUGGGGGUGCACUUGAAACUGCUGUUCUUGAGUGUCGGAGAGGAAAGCGGAAUUCCUAGUGUAGCGGUGAAAUGCGUAGAUAUUAGGAGGAACACCAGUGGCGAAGGCGGCUUUCUGGACGAUAACUGACGCUGAGGCGCGAAAGCGUGGGGAGCAAACAGG
rnacentral:rRNA from 1 species